rnacentral:rRNA from 1 species
GUUCUGUGACUGCGUACCUUUUGUAUAAUGGGUCAGCGACUUAUAUUUAGUAGCAAGGUUAAGUGAAUAACGGAGCCGUAGCGAAAGCGAGUGUUAACUGCGCGUUUAGUUGCUAGGUAUAGACCCGAAACCCGGUGAUCUAGCCAUGGGCAGGUUGAAGGUUGAGUAACAUCAACUGGAGGACCGAACCCACUAACGUUGAAAAGUUAGGGGAUGACUU